UAUAAUUUCAUCAACAGAUUCAAAUAUCAAUAUGAAACUGACCUUCAAUCAGUACAUCAAUGCCCACUAUAGAUCAAUUAAUUACAUUGCGCCGAACAGUUAGGCAAUUUUCUCGCUAUGAAAAGCUUUAAUCGGCCUUCAAUCGGCCGCGAAUGAGAUAUCCGAAGGUCAAGUACGUUUGGAAUUUCCGGAGAAAGUCGGGGAAGAAAAAGUUGCGACCGAGCCCAAACUGAGCGAGCCUUCAACGUAAGCCGUUACACUGCCGAACCAUUUCGAAGAAGCUCGGGGGAAAUAUCGAACUUCCGUUAAGUUCGGUCGAUGGCACCUUCCCUAAUCUGAGGAUCACGGUUUCAUUUUACUUUCGUUCGAUCCGCAGAUUAGUGUAGAAGUGUCGUUGUUAACCUUGUAGAAAUAGCCGUUGAAUGUGAGUGAAAGUAACGUGGUGAUAUUUCUUUAGUUUAAUUGUUCUUUUUGUUAGUUCCUAGUUUUCAGUCCAAGUUAGGAAAGAAGUGCGUAGGGUUUGUGCGUUUACCUCGACAGAUUACCAGCCCACUGGCUAGAUUCUUCCACAGCGACGCUUCUCUGCCGAUCGACUCGGAACUUCCGGCGAACGAAUACUGCCGAAGAAGAGGCACGUCAACACGCCGCUUAGCGAACUUCUGUGGUCGUCUACUGCCACUUGUCAGGCCCGUCUUGAAGGUCGUUCAAGGUUUCGCAAGAACACCCCCCCCCCACGUGACAGACCACCCCGUACACGUGGUCCAAGCGGUCGAUCCACCGGCGCGACACACCAGGAGCGCAGAAACAAUCAGCAGGUCAGCAAAAACCACGUAGCUGCUCGGUGAGUCGUUUCCUUUUUUGCACCGUCUUUUUUUGUGGAGUGGGGCGUCCGGUGAGGACGCCUCGGAGAAGUUUUUUGCCGACCAUAAGGUCGAGAAUAAUUUUGGACGUCUAGUCGGAAACAGCGUUCGCAAAUGUAAGGUUGGGUGGUUGCUUGGAUUCAAAAGCGUGCGCACGUAGUUUAUGGAAGCUCCACCCAACCCUAUUGUUUAAGUCACCCGGGUGCAUCAAGCCUCCAUAGCUAGCUUGCCGCAUCGUCAAGGGAGAAAAUAUCAAUGGAUCGUGUACACGAAUAGAGCACAAGAACAAGAUAGAAGGAUAGAUAGAAAAGAAACGCACAAGAGAGCAGGACUGAAACAGGUACACGUUGUAAAAGUAUAUUAGGGAACAAAUAGCAUGUGAGUAGAAUAAACUUUCGUUUCUGUUAUUUAUUGAAUAAACGUGUUUAGUCUCUUAAGUAUUAUUGUGUUAGUAAGUUAUACUACAGUCCUGCGAAAGAUUUUUAAAUUAUUGAAAUGUUGUCCCGUUACUUCGCGUAUUUGUAGUAGAUGUUGUUUGCGUGGCGCAAUUUGACUGUAGUCUUGCGUAUGCCCUUCUACGCUGGUAGCGCCUCUAGCGAGAAGUAGUGGAACCGCCAGUGAUGAUAAAGAGCUUG